GCUGGGCACUGUAGUACAUGCCUGUAAUCCCUGCUACAUAGUAGGCUUAGGCAGGAGGAUCGCUUGACUCCAGGAGUUCUGGGUUGUAGUGCGUUAUGCUGAUCAGGUAUCCACACUAAGUUCGGCAUCAAUAUGGUGAACUCCCAGGAGCGGGGGACCACCAAGUUGCCUAAAGAGGGGUGAACCGGCCCAGGUCAGAAGUGAAGCCAUCUGGACCUGGGCUUUUUUUUGUUGGGAAGUUAUUUGUUACUGAUUCAAUCUCCUGACUUCUUGUGGGUCUAUU
rnacentral:SRP_RNA from 1 species